GCAUGGUGCUGUCAGGCAUAAACGCAUUCAUUUCACACCACACAAAAGCCCCACUGUUGUCACAACGCAAUGCCAGCGCAGUGCAGCCUUAGCUUACGACACAAGUGCUGUAAUCUGUAACCACACAGAACACAUUUUGGCCAGGAUUACAGUGUGGCCAUCAUGAAGUGUUACGUGGAUGCACCAAUCCUGGCUGGUGUCAUGCUAAAAACACAUUCUAUUUGGCUGUCACUUCACCUUAGUUAUGCUCUUUUGCCCCAGUGGCUAGCCUGCCAUGUUCAAUGUGCACUGAGCUGUUUUGCUUUAAUACUCCACAACGAUCUAAGGGCUCAUUCACAUCGGUGAUUGACAGGUUGCAUGAUUGGUGACCAAUGCAUGAUGGAUGGUGACUGAUGUUCACCCGGCAAACACGUGCCUGUCGCCACAUUAAAAUGUCUCAUCACUGAUGCCAUUCACGUCUGCUCGUACUGCUAUCGCCACAUAAAGUGAGUGUCAAUGUAUACAGACAAUGUUCCUGCACAUCUCAUUGAUUCAGAAGCUUUGUGACUGCGGUCGCCGGAGUGAAUGAGUCCUAAAGCUGCAAAAUGCAGCCUAAGACAAACCAAUAAGACUUGAAAAUUUUGGCUAAUCUAGCCAUGUUAACGGCCAGUCUCUUUCAAGUCAUGACUACGACACAUGUAGAGGAACAAUUCCCCAAAGGCUCUAAAUGCAUCUCCAGAGCUAUUGAGAUGCGGCAGCUCCACAGCUGCCUACACGAAGGCACUUAUAGCAUCAACGAUGGUGUUGCAAUAGAAGUUGCAUUUCACAACAGUUACAUCACAGGACUAUUUGAUGAAAGGCACACUCUUUGGCUUCAGAUUGUGAACUACAAAUGAAGAAACAAUUACUUGACUGACCAUUACAGUGCAGGGUGGUCAGCUCACAAGAUAAAUGCAAAACAAAAAAACAGACAGGGUAGUCUGCUCACAAGGCUUCCGCUUGUGAGAUAAUGAGAGCAGUUUGGAAGAUUGCAGAUACCCUUUGUGUGACGAGAGCCAUGCUUAGAGGGCCUUCCAAAAUGUUUUCUCCGAUCUUGCCAGACUGGAAGCUGCAUCCAUCUCGUCUGCACUGAAACAGGUAGAGAAAGCUUGAAAAAAGCGAGAUAUGUUGCCUUCCAUGUUGCAGAACAUGGCCAUCUUGAAAGGGCCGCAUUAAUGGUGUUAUACGUUAGAUAAUGAAACACAUUGUGCACUAUCAGCAUAAAUUAAAAUGUGAAGUUGAAAACGAUUAGAAUGUAUUGUGUGCUCCCAGGUCGCCUGCAGUUCUAACAAUGCCUUAAA
rnacentral:lncRNA from 1 species